AACGAACGCUGGCGGCAGGCCUAACACAUGCAAGUCGAACGGAUCCUUCGGGAUUAGUGGCGGACGGGUGAGUAACGCGUGGGAACAUACCCUUUGGUACGGAAUAGCCUCGGGAAACUGGGAGUAAUACCGUAUGUGGUCGAGAGACGAAAGAUUUAUCGCCAAAGGAUUGGCCCGCGUUGGAUUAGGUAGUUGGUGGGGUAAUAGCCUACCAAGCCGACGAUCCAUAGCUGGUUUGAGAGGAUGAUCAGCCACACUGGGACUGAGACACGGCCCAGACUCCUACGGGAGGCAGCAGUGGGGAAUCUUAGACAGUGGGGGAAACCCUGGUCUAGCCAUGCCGCGUGAUCGAUGAAGGCCUUAGGGUUGUAAAGAUCUUUCAGGUGGGAAGAUAAUGACUGUACCACCAGAAGAAGCCCCGGCUAACUCCGUGCCAGCCGCCGCAGUAA
rnacentral:rRNA from 1 species